CACUUUCCCUCUCUGUCUCCUCAACAGGAACAUUUGUAGUGAAUGUGACCCAGACCUCCUAUCAGGCAGAGGAGAACCACGACAUCACACUGGAGUGGACCUUCACAACCAACCCUCACAGUUCCUCCAACUCUCUUAAUAUCUUCUGUGAACUGAUAACUGAUCUCAAGAAUCCAGUCCUGUUUCAUCUCCAUGAAGGAGUUGAGGUCCCAGAGUCUCAGGAUGAACAGUUUGCAGGACGAGUCCAGUGGGACAAAGACGUCCUCAGAGAAGGACGACUCAGACUUCAUGUGUCCAGACUCAGGACUGAAGACUCGGGACUGUACCUGUGUGAUGUGCUCACAGAUUAUGGGAGUAAGUCUGGUAGAUGUUUGCUCAAUGUCACUGCAGCGGGGGAUCAGCCUGAACCUGAGACACCAAACACAACAAGUCCACCAAACACAACAAGUCCACAACAACCAGAGAGUUGGGGAAGGAUCGGUCUCUACUGUGGACUGGGACUGACGACAGCAGCAGCUCUGCUGGCUGGUUGUUUCUAUUUGUUCAGAAAGAGAAGAAUGCAGAGAGAACCUGAUUCCCCUUCAGCGAAUAUCAGUUACAGAUCAGCAGCUGUUGAAUCAGAGUUUAAUCAUUAACAACUGAGGCAAAACUGUCAGAAUGAACUGUUUAUAUCACAGACACAAAGAAAAUACUAGUUUCUCAUUGGCAGGUAAUAUAACAGCAGGUAACCAUAGCAAUGCUGAUGUUUUUCAUACGUGAAAAUCAGCCAAAUGAACACUAACAACCUGUAGAAGGUGAUGACUGAAACACAUUCAUGAUAUAAAAGUCUAAUUACAAAACUGAUAAACAAAAAUAGUUAUGGAGGAAAACAAUGUUCUCAUUAUUUUAUAUAUAUAUAUAUAUAUAUCUGAAAGUUGAUUGAAACAAAUCUUCCCUUUUUAUAUUCUUCAGUAAGUGAACUUGAAUCCUAUAACACAACUGAUUAAUAAUGGAGGACAAGAUGUUCCUGUUUAUUAUUUGGUCAAACUGUCACUUAUCAGACAGAUCUGAAAUGUGCUGUGUUCACUUUAUUGAAAUACCUCAUAUACAACGCAGGCUGUAGCUAAUAUAUGCAAUCUUUUCAAUGUAAAGCUCAAUGUGGUCAGUUUUCAUAACAAACAUAUCCACUUGUUUUUCUAUCCUGUCUAUCAUGUAGUUGACUCCUGCAGGAUGUAAUGAAGCCUUCAUGUUAACUGAAGAUCCUUCAGAUCUGCAUCAAACUGUAGCAGCACACAGGAAGUGAAGGCAUCUUCUUCAUGAAAACUUUCAGACCUUCUGCUCAGACUUCAUAUACAGCUUUAACUUUAACACACAGAGCUGUAACCUUUUCUUCUGUAAUGGUCACUUUAAUGUACUGGUUCUGUUGUAUUAUGGUCUGUUACUUCCUGUCUCUCUGUCAUUGUAAAGCUGUGAGGAGUUAACUCUGGUGAUGAUGAUGAAGAGAAAGAUCUAAAUGAUGAAGAACUAAAUGCUUGUUUCAUCUGAUGUAUGAUCUGAUUCAUUCAUUUUUUACACACUGAAAUGUUUCUCAUGUAUUUCAAUUCAUCACUUUAACAAAUGAAGACGUUCAACUGAAGGAAUCUUUUGACUAAAUAACUAAAUAAAGUUAUUUAAAUGUUAUUAAUUUAAAUGUUCUUUGCUGGCUGUGAUAUCUGAAAAUGUUGCAGCUCUAACUGAUCAUAUUGAACUUCUGAUGAUUUGUUGAAUUGGAACCACGAAUGGGAGAAAGAAAACAGG
ensembl:lncRNA